GAUGAACGCUGGCGGCGUGCUUAACACAUGCAAGUCGAACGGAAAGGCCAGUGCUUGCACUGGUGCUCGAGUGGCGAACGGGUGAGUAACACGUGGGUGAUCUGCCCUGCACUUUGGGAUAAGCCUAGGAAACUGGGUCUAAUACCAGAUAGGACCAUGCUUUGGAUGGUGUGGUGGAAAGUUUUUUCGGUGUGGGAUGAGCUUGCGGCCUAUCAGCUUGUUGGUGGGGUAAUGGCCUACCAAGGCGUCGACGGGUAGCCGGCCUGAGAGGGUGUACGGCCACAUUGGGACUGAGAUACGGCCCAGACUCCUACGGGAGGCAGCAGUGGGGAAUAUUGCACAAUGGGCGCAAGCCUGAUGCAGCGACGCCGCGUGGGGGAUGACGGCCUUCGGGUUGUAAACUCCUUUCGCAACUGACGAAGCUUUUUGUGACGGUAGGUUGAGAAGAAGCACCGGCUAACUACGUG
rnacentral:rRNA from 1 species